rnacentral:rRNA from 1 species
GACGAACGCUGGCGGCGUGCAUAACACAUGCAAGUCAAGGGGGUCAGUAGCAAUACUGGCAACCGGCGAACGGGUGCGUAACACGUAAGCGACCUACCUCAAUGUGGGGCAUAGCCGGCCUAACGGCCGGGUAAUUCCGCAUGUGAUCUUGGAGGGGCAUCUCUCCGGGAUGAAACCAGUAAUGGGCAUUGAGAGGGGCUUGCGGCCUAUCAGCUUGUUGGUGAGGUAACGGCUCACCAAGGCUACGACGGGUAGCUGGUCUGAGAGGAUGGCCAGCCACAUUGGGACUGAGAACGGCCAGACCCCUACGGGAGGCAGCAGUGGGGAAUCUUGCGCAAUGGUCUAACGACUGACGCAGCGACGCCGCGUGAGGGA